AGCGGCAAACUUCACCAUGGUCUCUUUGUUGAUUGGCAUCAGCCUUUACUGCUCCUUCCACCGUCAACCGGGCUGGAAGUGUGUCAUUGUCGGCGGAGAAGAGCAAGUCUCUUCCUUUCUUGAACAGACCUGCUCUCCUUGAUGGAUCCAUGGCUGGAGAUGUUGGUUUCGAUCCUCUUGGUUUGUCCAACAUUGACGAUGUCGGUAUCGAUCUUUACUGGCUACGUGA
rnacentral:ribozyme from 1 species